rnacentral:lncRNA from 1 species
GGCCCCUAAACAAAUAUAUAUUUUUUAAUGUUAUAUUUCACAUGUCUAUAAUAGGGGAGGUUUGGCAUGCCCAAAACCAGGUUCAACCCACCAUUUUUUCCUUUAAAAAUGUCCUGUACCAAGUCAGAAAUAUGGCCAUUGUUAUAUUAUAGUUCGUUUCUGUGUUUGUUUCAAUUUAACGUUGCGUCGUUUGUUUUCUCUUAUUUUUUAGUAUAAAUUGGCAUUGCGAUAAGACGUGUCACGGUACUUG